rnacentral:sRNA from 2 species
UCCGGUGUAGCCGCUGGUAUUACGGCGGUGAAGAGAUCAACGAAAGGAAUAGCA